rnacentral:snoRNA from 1 species
CUCAGUGCUCGCGUCUCUACCUGAACCUUGGCACAAAG